ACGCUGGCGGCAGGCCUAACACAUGCAAGUCGAGCGGUAGAGAGAAGCUUGCUUCUCUUGAGGGCGGCGGACGGGUGAGUAAUGCCUAGGAAUCUGCCUGGUAGUGGGGGAUAACGUUCGGAAACGGACGCUAAUACCGCAUACGUCCUACGGGAGAAAGCAGGGGACCCUCGGGCCUUGCGCUAUCAGAUGAGCCUAGGUCGGAUUAGCUAGUUGGUGAGGUAAUGGCUCACCAAGGCGACGAUCCGUAACUGUUCUGAGAGGAUGAUCAGUCACACUGGAACUGAGACACGGUCCAGACUCCUACGGGAGGCAGCAGUGGGGAAUAUUGGACAAUGGGCGAAAGCCUGAUCCAGCCAUGCCGCGUGUGUGAAGAAGGUCUUCGGAUUGUAAAGCACUUUAAGUUGGGAGGAAGGGCAUUAACCUAAUACGUUAGUGUUUUGACGUUACCGACAGAAUAAGCACCGGCUAACUCUGUGCCAGCAGCCGCGGUAAUACAGAGGGUGCAAGCGUUAAUCGGAAUUACUGGGCGUAAAGCGCGCGUAGGUGGUUUGUUAAGUUGGAUGUGAAAUCCCCGGGCUCAACCUGGGAACUGCAUUCAAAACUGACUGACUAGAGUAUGGUAGAGGGUGGUGGAAUUUCCUGUGUAGCGGUGAAAUGCGUAGAUAUAGGAAGGAACACCAGUGGCGAAGGCGACCACCUGGACUAAUACUGACACUGAGGUGCGAAAGCGUGGGGAGCAAAC
rnacentral:rRNA from 1 species